AUGUUCAAUGAUUGCAAUUUCCAGAACGUCUUCUUCCCCAAAUCCCAACGCUGCGAUGUCGUGUGUGCGCAACAAACAUCUCCUUUUCUCGAUUCUCCUCCUCGAUUUCACUUUCACCAAUCAAUUUCUCCAAGCUCAAACCCUAAUCGGCCCUAAUUUUGACGAAGCGCUUCUGCCCUUCGGCUCACACGCAAUCACCGGCACUCUAUCCACCCGCUGCAAUCGCCCCGAAUUCGACGGUACUAUCCCUUUCACUUUGCGUAACAAAUGUCCCUUCACAGUUUGGGCCGCCACCAUACCAGGCGGUGGCCGACAGCUCCAAACCAACGACGCUUGGGUUAUCGACGUACCCUCCGGCACGACAGGAGGACGCAUUUGGGGCAGAACAAACUGUUCCUUCGACAAAUCUGGCCGUGGAAAUUGCCAGACCGGAGAUUGCGGAGGCGUUCUUCAGUGCGUAACCUUCGGCUCGCCCCCCAAUACUCUUGCUGAAUUUGCACUUGACCAAUUUAACGAUCUGGAUUUCUUCGACGUCUCUCUCGUCGACGGGUUUAAUAUCCCGAUGGAAUUCACACCGACGUCUAACGGAUGCAGCAGGGGCGUCCGUUGCGCCGCCGAUAUCAACGGGCAGUGCCCUAAGGUGCUGAAGGUGGCCGGCGGCUGUAACAAUCCGUGCACAGUGUUCAAGACCGAUGAGUAUUGUUGCAGUAAUUUUUCCACGAGCUGUGAGCCCACAAAUUAUUCGAAGUUUUUCAAGGGUCAGUGUCCGGAUGCUUACAGCUACCCCAUGGAUGAUGCAACCAGCACAUUUACUUGUCCUGGUGCUGGCGCGACUAACUACGCCGUCGUGUUCUGCCCCUCCUAGAGCUGGAAGUCGUUGAACGAGUGGUUAUGAAUAUGAACAAAAUCAGAGAAGGAAGAGUACUCGUGAGCUUUAUAGCUGGAAAUUCAUGAAAUCCAUCGUUUAUCUUUACAUGAACGUGCCAACCAAAAGUGUGUACGCUUGAACAUCUUGAUUGGCCACAGUUUCUCGUAGUUGGAUGUCUUCAAGAGUGCGAGUUAAACAAGAAUGUGAGUUAAACUUCUACUCUAAGGCUUGACUUAUAACACGAGGUAGUGACUAUUGAAUAAACUUAGUACGUAGUAAUUAUAUUUGUUUGCAAAGCGUUACAUUGGAAGGAUAACUCAGCCACUUACCGGUUAAAUCGAGAUGGUGACUAUUGGACAAACUUAACACGAAGGAAUGUAACUAGGUUUGAUCACAAAGCGUUACAUUGGAAGGGUAACACCCGUUGAUCCUUUUGUGUAGGUUCAGGAUAACUCAACACUUCCGCGUUAAAUCGAGGUGGUGACUAUUGAACAAACUUAACAUGUAGGAACGUAGCUAUGUUUGUUUGCAAAGCGUUACAUCGAAAGAGUAAUGCCCAUCGAUCCUUAUGCGUAGGUUCAGGAUAACUCAACACUUCCAAACUAAAUCGAGAUGGUGACUAUUAGACAAACUUAGCACGUAGGAAUGUAACUAGGUUUGUUUGCAAAGCGUUACGUUGUUGUAUUGCAUGUUAAUGUGUGUAGCAUUAAAGCAACUAAAAGCUAAGUCUUGACCUCUCGUUACUAUCAUUAUCUUUCUUGCCUUGAGUUGUAUAUUUUUAAAUACCCAAAACUCAUCAUAUUUUCUAGUGAUUUGGUCACCUUUUAGUUUA